rnacentral:rRNA from 1 species
GACGAACGCUGGCGGCGUGCUUAACACAUGCAAGUCGAACGGAAAGGCCCUGCUUUUGGGGGGUGCUCGAGUGGCGAACGGGUGAGUAACACGUGAGUAACCUGCCCUUGACUUUGGUAUAACUUCAGGAAGCUGGGUCUAAUACCGGAUAGGAGCUCCUGCUGCAUGGUGGGGGUUGGAAAGUUUCGGCGGUUGGGGAUGGACUCGCGUCUUAUAAGCUUGUUUUUGGGGUAGUGUCUUACCAAGGCUUUGACGGGUAGCCGGGCUGAGAUGGUGAGCGGCUCCACUGGGACUGAGAUGAGGCACAGACUCCUACGGGAGGCAGCAGUGGGGAAUAUAGCAUAAUGGGAUGAAGCCAGAUGUAGCACAGCAGCGUGCGGGAUGACGGCAUUGGCGUAGUAUACCGCAUUCGCCUGUGACGAAGCGUGAAUGACGGUAAUGGGUAAAGAAGCUCCGGCUAACUCCGUG